CCAGGGCUCCGCGACUCCUUGUCUCCUCUUCCAGCAGCAAAGGGCCUGGAAAAGCUCACUUUUCAGUCCUGACGUCAAGAUACAUGGAGAGGACUUCUGAGGACCGAGAAAAAGGCUGAGCUACAAGACUGAGGGAGCUGGGAUGUCCAGUGACUGUGGAGGACGGAGCCACGCCCACACCUGACCGACAGUGGAUGCUGAGAGGCAGGGAUGCCAGAUUAUCACAGCUGUGUUGGAUCUAGUACCCAGCCUCUCUCCCUCAAUAGCCUGGCCGUCCAGCCCCAGCCUGCCGCCGGGCUAGGCUUUCCUGGCCAUCUGAUCGCGGAGAGGGCCCCGCACAAGGAAGAUACUGCUGCUUGCAACUUUGCAGAUACCAGCAGAGGAAGAAAAACAUGGGAGACUGCUGAUAACCUAAUGUGGAGAAUUAAACUCCAACUAGACAAAGGCGGAAUCUUAAUACAGAGUGGUCCAGCUCUGCAGGGAGGUCACCUGGACUGGCUGGAUUGCAAUCCAAUAACAGCAAAAGUUAGGACCCCAGUUUUUUUUUUGAUGUUGAACCUUCUAUGCUCAGGAAUUCCAAAGCAUUUGUUAAACUCUGCCAUGCUCCAUUGUUUACUGGCUUCCUAGUGCUUAUCGCAGUCUGUAAUUCCUUUAGUUCUAAGUUUAAUUGUCUGCCUCCCCACUUUGCCUAUCAGCCCCAGGAAGGUAGGGCUUUUACUCGGUGCACCUGUGUCUCCUGUGCAUCACACAAUGCCUGGCUCAUAGUGGGUGUUCGUUAAAUAAGUGCUGAAUUUGACAGUCUGGAAGCCCCAGAAUGCCCUCCUGGGCAGGUGGUUAGUAUAAUGGUAAACAUCGGUUCCUCUAAGAGCCAGACAAGUGACAGCAGGACUCAGAUUACCUGUUGGGCUGUGGAUCUAAACAGGAAGCUGUGCGGCAUGGGGGUAAGAAUAUUAGCAAGUGAGAAAGACAAGUGGGUCGACCUGGCUUUACCAUUUGACCUUGGAACUGGAGCUUGUGUUUCCUCACCUGAAAAAUGGGGAUGACACCUAUCCCAUGGAGGUAUUGAAAAGACGGAACAAAUGAAGCAUUUGACGUAGUGCCUGCACCAUACAGUGAUGCGGUAAACAUAGCUAAAUAAGAUAUAUCUUACUAUAUCUAAAUAAAUAUAUAACAUAAGCCAUAUAUAGUUAUAUAUAAUAAACAUGA